CGGCAACAGCUCAAAUUUGAAAUCUGGCCCUCGGGUCCGAGUUGUAAUUUGCAGAGGAUGCUUUUGGCGCGGUGCCUUCCGAGUUCCCUGGAACGGGACGCCAUAGAGGGUGAGAGCCCCGUCUGGUCGGACACCAAGCCUCUGUAAAGCUCCUUCGAC
rnacentral:rRNA from 1 species